GACAAAAUUUGUUUGUGAAAUAGGAAGGGAAUCCCUAAUACAACUAAUAAGUACACAGAGGAAUGAGCACGCUUAUUGCACAUGUGGAACAAUCUUGGUAGGCAACUGAAUUCUACAACAAUCAGGUUUUUGUAGAAUAUAGAAAUAAGAAUGUGAAUCGUGCGGAGUAGACUAGAGCCCUGAAAGAAAUUUGUAUACAUGGAUUAAGGGAUUAUGUGAAGAGUUAUUAUCCUUUGGGACCCCUAUGGAAAGUUACAUGGGCAACCGUAAUUGCUUUUGGCCAACCAAAAGUCUGCUCCUCCACCUCCUCCAACUGCAUCACUUUUCACCUUUGAAUCCUCUGAAUGAUCUUCAUCACACCCAAAGGAAUGAAUGGCUAAUGUUUGUCAAGAAAAUGGUUCAAAGCCGCUUACUUUUGGAUUAAGACAGAUAAUAGAUGAUAUGAGGUCCAAGAAUCAUGCAUAUAGAAUCAGGUUUGAGAGUGCUGGUGAGAAAGAAGUUCGUGUAAGUGCACCAUUUGUUUCUAAAGUUGGUCCUCUAAAGUUUGAGCUUUAAAUCAACCACAACACAACUGGGUGUCAUAUUCAUAGUAAGUUAUGAAAUUGUGGUUCUCUAUA